AAGUAAAAAUUUCAGCAAUUGAAUUGUUUGAUUGAAAUGAGCAUUUGACAAUUGGUCCGUUCACACCUGUUCACGUUCACGCAAAACUAAAUUGCGUUUUUGCUUGUUGGGACUUGGAGUGUCAGAGGUGUCCAAUAGAUGACAUAGGUGUUCUUGUUUAUCAUGUGAUGGCGGAUUGUUGAGUGGCUGUCAAAAGAUUUCCUAUAUUUUCAUAUUUUUCCACGAAAAUUACUGAUGAAUUCUUAAGAAGGAACGCAAAAGGCAACCAGCCUACAAAUAGCCUACCAUCAAUUUUUUCAUUAAAAAUCGUCGUUAGAACUGCUGAAUGUUUCAUCCUGUUAAUACAAGUCGCUAACCCCAGUGUGGGCAAUUGUUGUUUUUUCCAAACAUGUUUUCUACAAAUAAUGCAUUGACAGACAAAGAAAGCUAUGGGAACAUUAUCAAUCCCAUGGGUAGUAUUCAGGUUAUUGCAGCAACUUUGGUAAAGUCACAUGAAAAGAUGCAGGGCACAUACCAACAUUGUUUGUAUUUAUCUGAAUUUUAUACUCAAGCAGUAGGUACUAGGUAGCAAUUAAUUUAGUUUAUUGCAUUAAUGUUGGGAUAUUCAUUGGAAUAUUUCUUUUACAUUCAUCAUGAGAUUCAUGACUAUUUGAUGCCAAAGUUAGUUUGAACUCAAACACAGACAACUGUAGCUGCUGCUGCCUUACAGCCACAGGCAGGAAAAUUAUUCUUUUCUUCAGAAAAUUUUAAGUUUUAUUUUUUGUCUGGACCCCCGAUACCCCAAUCUCAUCAGAUUUAUUUCUGUGUGAUGUGCAUCUGAUAAUUCAUUCCUCGUGAGUGGUGAAUUCGUGAUGCUAAGCUUCCGAAACAGAGUUCGGAAAGCAAUCCAUUCGUUCCGUACAGUCAUCAAACGUGCCACCAGGUCACGCGAGUGUCUUCGUGAGGACGAACUGAGACUUCCGAGACGCUGACUGAAAGUGGUAAACCAAAUUUAUUACGGAGUUGCGGUGAAUCGAUUUAGAUUUUCAGCCAUGAAAUUUAAUUGUCAAUCUGGCAUAUAAUUUCACUUGGCCGGCUGGAUCCAUUCGGCAACACAGGGAUGGCCAGCCUAUAGGCCGUUACUAGAGUAGGCCAUGACUUGGCCAAAUAAUGUGACGACGUUGUUCGAAACUGCUGUCCAUUUUGUCAAAAUGUCGCCAUUGUACGUCUCAUUUCGUGCAGAAACACUUCAAAGCUAGUUGGAGAUAGAGAUCCCUUUAUUCAACUGUUACAGAAAUUGAGAACAUGUCUGAGCUUCAUGGCUGUCAUAUCAUUACCAUGGUUUUGUUGCAGCCAGCUGGUGAGAAAGGUGUGAUCGAGUCAAGUUGAUGUGCAGCUGCUGCAUGGAGUUUAUGGAGCUGGUGUUAUCCCAAGCAUCACUGCAGGAAAACUUCUUGAAUUGGAGUUCAUGGUCAGUUUGAGCUGUUUACGGUGUUGCUGUUUGGUGUACAGUGGUUUUACAGUUCCUAUCCAGUUAAUAGAUGCUCUGAAAUGGAGCUUGUGCAGAUUUGCAGUUCAACAUCACAUUUAAAUGUGACAUUUGCCUAUGUUUUUGUCCAUGCAUCAUAUGCAGUAUUGAACAGUUGGGUAAAAUAGUCGAUGUUGCCUGAUGGCUGUCGGUCUUAUUCGAUGGGCUGCAUUUUGUCGAUAUGUCGUCUCUUGCUAUCUGUACCGGCAUUGGAGUUUAAUCGUUCGCUGCCGUUCCAUAGACUUGAUCCAUUGUGAAACCGAGGGGAGGUUGCUGAAAUUCAAGACUCGUCAAUAAAUUAUGUAGAUGUAGUUAAAAUUACAAGUGCAUAUCUGGGCUCCCUUCUUC